rnacentral:lncRNA from 1 species
UGUGGAGCAGCAGAGCAGUGUUCCUUCACCUGCAGUGUCCAGUUCUGCUGCAUCUAAUCAGGAUUCUGGUUCAUGGCAAGAGAUUUUCAUGUUUCUUUGUCUUUCCCUAGAAAAUGUCUAAAUAUUUUAAAUAUUUCAAAUAUCCACACAAGUACAGAGAGUGAAUAGGGCAGGCUCUUAUGUACCUACCCCUCCAUAUUCCCUGCCUUUCUGAUCUUGCUGCUAAUAUGUCUUAUUAACUUUGGAAGAUAUUUGCUUUGGCUUGUGUUAAAAUUACUGUUAUUUUGUCCCUGGAAGUUCUGAAAUGUGUGGUUGGCCUGGGACUCAGACCCAUCAGGAACUCUAGUGUACCUCCUGUCUGAGGAAGGUUGGCACUACCUGGAUCCACCCUUAGCUACGGGUUCCUUUGUUGUUAGGUCACUGCCAUCUAUUUCCCCUCUUAAUUCAGUUUCAAGGAGCCAUGAGUGUGUGAGAGAGAAUCCCCUUCCUCUUUCCUCCCUCCUCUUCCGGCUAGUUCAGGACUCCCCUGUGAUGGGGUAAUUCAGUGGGUCCCACUUGGCGGAGCUGAUGCUGUCUCCACAUCCUGUUCCCUUCCCAUAAUACUUCAUCAUAGUUGAUGCCACUUUGUGAAUAAUUUCUCUUUUCUCUCCAAGCCAGGUUUGGGAUUUCUCCAUGUGUGUCCACCUCCCUGGAAGAAAGGGGUGGAGGCCGCUUUACUUUGUCUUUGGGGUUGAGAGUGAUGGAUAGAUGGCAUCUGUCAGGCAGGUGGAGGUGCUUCCUCAGGUUAAUUAAUGUGGGUAGGACCCACAGACAGGUUUCUCCUUCUUUCUUUUAACUGGCUAUUUUCUGGGAGCAGGGUCCUGGAUUAUUUUAUGAUAGCUUACAAUCAUGUUGUUUUAUGACUAGUCAUCCAUUUAACUGUUUGUUUUGGCCAGAUCCUCAGGAUGGCUUAUAGGAAUUGGUGCCCAUGGCUAGCACGUUGGAGGGGCUGGGGAAGGUUAAGACUACUGUUUACAGAGAGAGGUACCACCUUGAGAGGAAGGCUGAAGGGGGUUGCUGGGCCAGAACAUGGAGGAGAGCCUCCUGAGAGUAAAGCAGGAAGGAUUGGGAAGGGGGUGUGGAGGCCUUGGGAAUUGGCUGAAGAGUUUUGGGACUCUGGGAAGGAGGAAAAAUAGUUCUUAAAAAUUCUAGGCGUGAGCCACCGCACCUGGCCAUAAGAUUAAUUUUUAACCAAUUUCUUGGUUUUGAUUCUAACUGUUGAUAUUUGAAAUAUUCCCAAAUGUGGCAAUUAAACAAACUGGGCAAUUUUCAGUGGUAGAGUCACAAAAAUUCCUUGUUCCAUGCAUGGGUUCACUAAUCAUAAUAUUGUUCUUCAAGGUAGUAAAAUUAAUACGGUUGCUUUCAUAAUGAAGAAAACAACAUAAUUACGUCACUCGUUGGGCUUUAGAACUUUAUUUGGAAGGAAGAUAAUAUAGAAAUUAGAUUUGUGUUCAUGUAUGGAUUGACGCAAUCAAGUUCAUUUGAAGCUAGAGUAACUUACAAGCUUAAGAUGUGACCAGUGAGCUGGGUACACUGUAUAGAAACUUAUCAUUGGAUUUGAGUUGGAAACAAUAGCAUUGCAGUGC